GGUUGUGGUGGCUCAGUGGUUAAGGCUUUGUGCUACAGAUUCGAAGGUCUGGGGUCAAAUCCCAGCACUGCCG